rnacentral:rRNA from 1 species
GAUCAUGGCUCAGAUUGAACGCUGGCGGCAGGCCUAACACAUGCAAGUCGAGUGGUAGAGAGAAGCUUGCUUCUCUUGAGAGCGGCGGACGGGUGAGUAAUACCUAGGAAUCUGCCUGAUAGUGGGGGAUAACGUUCGGAAACGGACGCUAAUACCGCAUACGUCCUACGGGAGAAAGCAGGGGACCUUCGGGCCGUUGCGCUAUCAGAUGAGCCUAGGUCGGAUUAGCUAGUUGGUGAGG